GUAAACUUCUCGCAAGAAAUGGUUCGGUUGCUGAAUAUUUAUGGAAGUGACAAGAAAGCAUGUAGCAAUUGCUAGUGGUCUUGAAAAUUAUAGCAGCAUUACUCUGCCCAGAUCAGUUUUCUGGCUUACCCACAGUACAGUCUUCGAUGAUGAAAUGAAUAUCUGAGGCAUCCAUGGCAGUUGGAUAUUUAGAAUUUUUCUACGAUCAGGGAACCUGAAGGCAUGAGGAGCACAGCUACUGCACUGUUUCCGACGGC
rnacentral:lncRNA from 1 species